AUUCAACUUAUUAGAGAGUGUUGCCAAAAAAAAAAAAGCAAGAGUUUUUUAGAGAGUAGUUUGGUUCUUAAAUUCUCACCUGGGUGUAGAAGA